GUCUCUUGCUCCAGCCAGAGCUCGAGGUUAGCUCUUCACUGCCCUGUGUCUUCUUUCCAAGGGUCUCGGUGAUUCGGCCACAGCCUCAGCCUCCAUCACGCGGUGAACUGAUGGUGCUGGAAGAUUCAUAGACUCCAGGACAUUCCUGAAGCCGAGAAAAGGUUAAGUAGGGUCUGGCCUGGAAUACUCUCCUAGAUGAAGAUAGCCCAACCAUGAGCCACCUUCGAAGCAGAUGAGAUGAAAUUAAAGCUCUUCAACUCCUAAAGGCCCAGAGACUAUCACAAAAGAGGUCAGAAAUCCUGAAGGUCACUUUCUGACAAACUCAGGAACCCCAGGUUUAUCUUGGAGCCUCAAGAGGAGAUAAAUUCACCCAACUCAGAAACCACCCCACUGGCAGGAGACGGCGGUAGCUGUGGUCAUUGAAAACAAGCUCCUGCUGAUAAAUCUCAGACACCAGACACAGAAGAACCUGGAGACCCUGCCAGAGAGCUUGAGGCAAAUGGAUGGACUGUUGGAGCAGCUGAGGGUGAAGCAGCACAAACUCCUCAAAGUUGAAUAGCAAAGCAGCCACCAGAGAUGGACAAGAAAAAUGAACAAAGAAAAUUAGCAGAAAUCAAAGGCAGAUGCUAAAGCAGUGCAAAAUCAUUCAUUCAAUGAUAGAAAUGAAAUUGAUGAAGGAGUCUGGAAAAUGAAUGACAGAAGAGAAUUAAACAGCAGUGACCAUAGUAAGGUCCUGACGAUUCUGGUCCACUGAAUCCCAUCAUCCCUAAGACAGUAAAUAUCAUCACAGUCACCACCAGCAAGUUACCACCACAGCAUUUCCUGUUUGUUCCAAAAUGAAUAAAGAUGAUUCUCAUCACAAGGGCAAAUACAAAGUAGUUUAGUAUGUUUUUAACUAAACUAAAGGUGUUUGGUUUACUUUUUCUAAGUUCUCAUAAUUCUGAAAAUGCAGUUGACACUUGUGUGGCUCAUGAUGUUUUUAAUAGUCUAAUGCUACUUGAAUUGUUCAAAAACCACUGUAUUUUAAAUUAAGAUGAAUAAACGGUCCUUUGAAAACUGGCACAAGGCAAGGAUGCCCUCUGUCACCACUCCUAUUCAACACAGUAUUGGAAGUUCUGGCCAGGGCAAUCAGGCAAGGGAAAGCAAUACAGCGUAUCAAAAUAGGAAGAGAGGAAGUCAAAUUGUCUCUGUUUGCAGAUGACAUGAUUGCAUAUUUAGAAAACCCCAUCUUCUCAGCCCAAAACCUCCUUAAGCUGAUAAGCAACUUCAGCAGUCUCAGAAUACAAAAUCAAUGUGCAAAAAAUCACAAGCAUUCCUAUACAUUAAUAACAGACAAACAGAGAGCCAAAUCAUGAGUGAACUCCCACUCACAAUUGCUAGUAAGAGAAUAAAAUACCUAGGAAAAUACAGCUUACAAGGGACAUGAAGGACCUCUUCAAGGAGAACUACAAACCACUGCUCAAGGAAAUGAGAAGAGACAAACAAAUGGGAAAGCAUUCCAUGCUCAUGGAUAGGAAGAAUCAAUAUCGUGAAAAUGGCCAUAGUGCCCAAAGUAAUUUUAUAGAUUCAAUGCUAUCCUCAUUAAGCUACCAUUGAUUUUCUUCACAGAAUUGGAAAAAACUACUUUAAACUUCAUAUGGAACCAAAAAAGAGCCUGCACAACCAAGACAAUACUGGGCAAGAAGAACAAAGCUGGAAACAUCAGGCUACCUGGCUUCAAACUAUACUACAAGGCUACAGGAACCAAAACAGCAUGGUACUGGUACCAAACAGAUAUGUAGACCAGUGGAACAGAACAGGGCCUCAGAAAUUGAUAUCACUCUGUCACCAUCAAAAAAUACUUAUUUAGUGUCAAAUCCUACUGUGAAAUAGCAGAACUGUGGGAUUUGUAAAGUGGAAAUGCAGAAUUCAAAACAGAGAUAUAUACCAAUGGAACAGAGCAGAGGCCUCAGAAAUACCACCACACGGCUACAACAAUCUGAUCUUUGACAAACCUGACACACACAAGCAAUGAGAAAAAGAUUCCCUAUUUAAUAAAUGGUGUUGGGAAAACUGGCUAGCCAUAUGUAGAAAAUUGAAACUGGACCCCUUUCUUACCCGUUUUACAAAAAUCAACUCAAGAUGUAUCAAAGACUUAAAUGUAAGACCUAAGACCAUAAAAAUCCUAGAAGAAAACCUGGGCAGUACCAUUCAGGACAUAGGCAUGGGCAAAGCCUUCAUGUCCAAAACACCAAAAGCAGUGGCAACAAAAGCCAAAAUUGACAAAUGGGAUCUAAUUAAAUUAAAUAGCUUCUGCACAGCAAAAGAAACUCAUCAGAGUGAACAGGCAACUACAGAAUGGGAGAAAAUUCUUGCAAUCUAUCCAUCUGACAAAAGGCUAAUAUCUAGAAUCUACAAAGAAUUUAAACAGUUUACAAGAAACAAACAAACUGCCCCAUCAAAAAAUGGGCAAAGAUAUGGACAGACACUUCUCAAAAGAAAACAUUUAUGCAGCCAACAGACACAUGAAAAAAUGCUCAUCACUGGUCAUUAGAGAAAUGCAAAUCAAAACCACAAUGAGAUACCAUGUCACACCCGUUAGAAUGGCAAUCAUUAAAAAGUCAGGAAACAACAGUGCUGGAGUGGAUAUGGAGAAAUAGGAACACUUUUACACUGUUGGGAGUGUAAAUUAGUUCAACCAUUGUGGAAAACAGUGUGGCAAUUCCUCAAGGAUCUAGAACUAGAAAUAACAUUUGACCAAUUCCAUUACUGAGUAUAUACCUAAAGGAUUAUAAAUCAUUCUAUGAUAAAGACACAUGCACACGUCUGUUUAUUGUGGCACUAUUCACAAUAGCAAAGACUUGAAACCAACCCAAAUGUCCAUCAAUGAUAGACUGGGUAAAGAAAAUGUGGCACAUAUACACUGUGGAAUACUGUGCAGGUGUAAAAAAGGAUGAGUUCAUGUCCUUUGCAGGGACAUGGAUGAAGCUGGAAACCAUCAUUCUCAGCAAACUAGCACAAGAUCAGAAAACCAAACGCUGCAUGUUCUCACUCAUAAGUGGGAGUUGAACAGUGAGAACACAUGGACACAGGGAGGUGAACAUCACACACUGGGGCCUGUCAGGUGCUGGGGGGCUAAGGGAGGGAUAACAGGAAAAAUACCUAAUGUAGGUGACGGGUUGAUGGUUGCAGCAAACCACCAUGGCACAU
rnacentral:lncRNA from 1 species